rnacentral:rRNA from 1 species
UACGAAGGGGGCUAGCGUUGUUCGGAAUUACUGGGCGUAAAGCGCACGUAGGCGGAUAUUUAAGUCAGGGGUGAAAUCCCAGAGCUCAACUCUGGAACUGCCUUUGAUACUGGGUAUCUGGAGUAUGGAAGAGGUGAGUGGAAUUCCGAGUGUAGAGGUGAAAUUCGUAGAUAUUCGCAAGAACACCAGUGGCGAAGGCGGCUCACUGGCCCGAUACUGACGCUGAGGUGCGAAAGCGUGGGGAGCAAACAGG